rnacentral:rRNA from 1 species
AAUUUGAAAUCUGGCCCCUUCGGGGUCCGAGUUGUAAUUUGUAGAGAGUGCUUCGGGGGAGACCGCGGUCUAAGUCCAUUGGAACAUGGCGUCCCAGAGGGUGAGAAUCCCGUAUGUGACCGCGGCUCGAGCCCAUGUGAAGCCUCUUCGACGAGUCGAGUUGUUUGGGAAUGCAGCUCUAAAUGGGUGGUAAAUUUCAUCUAAAGCUAAAUACUGGCUGGAGACCGAUAGCGCACAAGUAGAGUGAUCGAAAGAUGAAAAGCACUUUGGAAAGAGAGUUAAACAGUACGUGAAAUUGUUGAAAGGGAAGCGCUUGCAACCAGACCUGCCCGUAGGCGAUCAACCGCUGUUCUCAGCGGUGCACUCGUUCUGCGAUCAGGCCAGCAUCGGUUCGGGCGGUUGGAUAAAGGCCUUGGGAAUGUAGCUUCCCUUCGGGGGAGUCUUAUAGCCCUCGGUGCAAUGCGGCCAGCCGGGACCGAGGACCGCGCUUCGGCUAGGAUGCUGGCGUAAUGGUUGUAAGCGACCC